GGUGAACGCUGGCGGUAGGCCUAACACAUGCAAGUCGAACGGCAGCACAGUAAGAGCUUGCUCUUACGGGUGGCGAGUGGCGGACGGGUGAGGAAUACAUCGGAAUCUACUUUUUCGUGGGGGAUAACGUAGGGAAACUUACGCUAAUACCGCAUACGACCUACGGGUGAAAGCCGGGGAUCUUCGGACCUUGCGCGAUUGAAUGAGCCGAUGUCGGAUUAGCUAGUUGGCGGGGUAAAGGCCCACCAAGGCGACGAUCCGUAGCUGGUCUGAGAGGAUGAUCAGCCACACUGGAACUGAGACACGGUCCAGACUCCUACGGGAGGCAGCAGUGGGGAAUAUUGGACAAUGGGCGCAAGCCUGAUCCAGCCAUACCGCGUGGGUGAAGAAGGCCUUCGGGUUGUAAAGCCCUUUUGUUGGGAAAGAAAAGCAGCAGGUUAAUACCCCGCUGUUCUGACGGUACCCAAAGAAUAAGCACCGGCUAACUUCGUG
rnacentral:rRNA from 1 species